UACAGAGGGUGCGAGCGUUAAUCGGAAUCACUGGGCUUAAAGCGUUCGUAGGCGGACCUGUAGGCGCGUUGUGAAAGCCCUCGGCUCAACCGGGGAACUGCUUCGCGAACCACAGGUCUUGAGUCAAGUAGGGGCGGUCGGAACGAUAGGUGGAGCGGUGAAAUGCGUAGAUAUCUAUCGGAACGCCGACGGUGAAGACAGGCCGCUGGGCUUGUACUGACGCUGAGGAACGAAAGCGUGGGGAGCAAACGGGAUUAGAAACCCCU
rnacentral:rRNA from 1 species